rnacentral:rRNA from 1 species
AGAUUGAACGCUGGCGGCAUGCCUUACACAUGCAAGCCGAACGGCAGCACGGGAGCAAUCCUGGUGGCGAGUGGCGAACGGGUGAGUAAUAUAUCGGAACGUGCCCAGUCGUGGGGGAUAACGCGAGCGAAAGCUGUGCUAAUACCGCAUACGAUCUAUGGAUGAAAGCGGGGAUCGCAAGACCUCGCGCGAUUGGAGCGGCCGAUAUCAGAUUAGCUAGUUGGUGGGUAAAGCCUACAAGGCGACGAUCUGUAGCGUGGUCUGAGAGGACGACCAGCCACACUGGAACUGAGACACGGUCCAGACUCCGUACGGGAGGCGAGCGAGUGGGGAAUUUUGGACUAAGUGGCGCAAGCCUGAUCCAGCA